UUAGCGGCUACAAAUUUACAACGACCAUAUCUCAAACAUUUCGAUUAAGAGCCGUUUACAGAAGCUGCCACUAAGCCUCUGUUGUCUGAAACAACUUCUCAAC